rnacentral:rRNA from 1 species
UGAGGAAUAUUGGUCAAUGGGCGGGAGCCUGAACCAGCCAAGUAGCGUGCAGGAUGACGGCCCUAUGGGUUGUAAACUGCUUUUGUAUGGGGAUAAAGUCAAUCACGUGUGAUUGUUUGCAGGUACCAUACGAAUAAGGACCGGCUAAUUCCGCGCCAGCAGCCGCGGUAAUACGGAAGGUCCGGGCGUUAUCCGGAUUUAUUGGGUUUAAAGGGAGCGUAGGCCGGAGAUUAAGUGUGUUGUGAAAUGUAGACGCUCAACGUCUGACUUGCAGCGCAUACUGGUUUCCUUGAGUACGCACAACGUUGGCGGAAUUCGUCGUGUAGCGGUGAAAUGCUUAGAUAUGACGAAGAACUCCGAUUGCUAAGACAGCUGACGGGAGCGCAACUGACGCUUAAGCUCGAAGGUGCGGGUAUCAAACAGGAUUAGAUACCCUGGUAGUCCGCACAGUAAACGAUGGAUGCCCGCUGUUGGUACCUGGUAUCAGCGGCUAAGCGAAAGCAUUAAGCAUCCCACCUGGGGAGUACGCCGGCAACGGUG